AUGUGCUCUUAAAUUGGACAUGAUGGAGUGCCAAAAGUACAAGAGCUGAGCCACCUGAGCAGUCUGCGCUGUGACCUUUCUCCAUCCCUGCCAGGAGGGGCAGCCCCAGGACUGCAGCAACUGUACUAGACCUCUUUCAUCCUCUGACAGGGACCUGAGAGGUCGCAUCCCUGUGCCACUCCUCCUACCCUGGGGCUUGUGGUGGCCGUUCGCAGGAAGCUGGUGUGGACUAGAAAGAAGCAGUGGGACUCUCUCUGGGCACAUGCAGAGUCUGUGAAAAUGAAUUCAAACAGACAGAAUGAGUGAGAUCUCCGAGAAAGCCUGAAUCUGCACUGAAAGAGCAAAUUGCACAAAGGGAGUUUCUGCAAAGAAAACACUUCUCAGCUCCCUCUCGUUCAUUACUGGAACUGUCAUCUUGUCCUGAAACCUCCAACCUCAGAACCUGAGAAGAUGGUUCCCUGCCUCCUGCAACCUCCAGGAGCACAGAGAUGUCUUUAUUCACUUUGAAAUUAGAAUUGCUGAUUCCCGAGAUUCAGUGAAAGCUUCAACCAGGGGGUCUCCCAAAUAAUGACGCAGAUUCCCACAGCUUCCCGGGAUGCAGCCAGGCUUGACAAAUGGAACUUGGUUUGUCAUAAGUCAACUAUUAUAGUCAGAGGAGUUCCGUAGGCAUGCCCUGGCUGACCACAAAUGGCGGAGACCACAUGAAUACAUGGUAUUCUGACCAGAUGCAGAAUGAAUGCUCCAAGUUUGGUGGGGAAGGAUCAAAAGGAUUCCAAAUGCUUGGUGCUGGGCCAGGAUUGCAGGAGUGCCCAACCUCAGCACCAGGUUGUUGCUCUGAAGCUCUGACCUGCACUAGCAUGUGGCCGGAGCCCUUCAUGGGGUGAGGAAAGCUGGUCCCGAUGAUGCUGUGAUUGACCAGCCUCUUACUCAGUGCCUUCCCAUUAGUGUCAGCUUCCUCUUCUCUGCAUAACAGUUAGCACCUACUGAGAACAUCUAAGUUCCCGCUGUUGCGCUAGGGGAGUCACCUGCCUCCUUUCAUUUAAGUACCCCAAUACCGUACCAGGUAAGUUUUAUCCUCUUCAUUUUCCUAAUACGGACAUUAUAGUCAGAAAACUUGAGUAACUCCAUUGAGGUUAGGUAACUCAAAAAGUGGUGACAUCAGCCUGGGACCCAUAGUCUCUGUGACUCCACAGCCUGUAAGCAUUUUAGUUCAUCUUAUUCGUUCUGGAUAAGUCUCUGUCUUGAUAGUUCAACUGUGUUUGAAAUGUCAUCAUCCUAAGGCUAUUGACUUAUCAGUGAAACAACAGCUGCAAGUGCAAUUUGACGCUUAGCUCUGCAGAGCCAGAGUAACGUACUAGGCUUAUA